CAGUCGCCGCGGUAAUACGGAGGGUGCAAGCGUUAAUCGGAAUUACUGGGCGUAAAGCGCACGCAGGCGGUCUGACAAGUCAGAUGUGAAAUCCCCGGGCUUAACCUGGGAACUACAUUUGAAACUGUCAGGCUGGAGUCUUGUAGAGGGGGGUGGAAUUCCAGGUGUAGCGGUGAAAUGCGUAGAGAUCUGGAGGAAUACCGGUGGCGAAGGCGGCCCCCUGGACAAAGACUGACGCUCAGGUGCGAAAGCGUGGGGAGCAAACAGGAUUAGAUACCCGCGUAGUCCCUGUCUCUUAUAA
rnacentral:rRNA from 1 species